rnacentral:rRNA from 1 species
UACGAAGGGGGCUAGCGUUGCUCGGAUUGACUGGGCGUAAAGGGCGCGUAGGCGGUUCGUACAGUCAGACGUGAAAUUCCUGGGCUCAACCUGGGGGCUGCGUUUGAUACGUGCGGACUUGAGUGCGGAAGAGGGUCGUGGAAUUCCCAGUGUAGAGGUGAAAUUCGCAGAUAUUGGGAAGAACACCGGUGGCGAAGGCGGCGACCUGGUCCGAUACUGACGCUGAGGCGCGAAAGCGUGGGGAGCAAACAGG